UACGAGGGGUGCAAGCGUUGCUCGGAAUUAUUGGGCGUAAAGGGUUGGUAGGUGGUCUUGUUUGUCUAGGGUGAAAUCCCAUGGCUUAACUGUGGAAGUGCCCUAGAAACGGCAAGACUAGAGUCCUAGAGGGGUUUGUGGAAUUCCCGGUGUAGCGGUAAAAUGCGUAGAGAUCGGGAGGAACACCAGCGGCGAAGGCGGCAAACUGGAUAGGCACUGACACUCAACAACGAAAGCGUGGGGAGCAAACAGG
rnacentral:rRNA from 1 species